GAUGAACGCUGGCGGCGUGCCUAAUACAUGCAAGUCGAGCGAACGGACGAGAAGCUUGCUUUUCUGAUGUUAGCGGCGGACGGGUGAGUAACACGUGGAUAACCUACCUAUAAGACUGGGAGAACUUCGGGAAACCGGAUCUAAUACCGGAUAAUAUUUUGAACCGCAUGGUUCAAAAGUGAAAGACGGUCUGGCUGUCACAUAUAGAUGGAUCCGCGCUGCAUUAGCUAGUUGGUAAGGUAACGGCUUACCAAGGCAACGAUGCAUAGCCGACCUGAGAGGGUGAUCGGCCACACUGGAACUGAGACACGGUCCAGACUCGUACGGGAGGCAGCAGUAGGGAAUCUUGCGCAAUGGGCGAAAGCCUGACGGAGCAACGCCGCGUGAGUGAUGAAGGUCUUCGGAUCGUAAAACUCUGUUAUUAGGGAAGAACAUAUGUGUAAGUAACUGUGCACAUCUUGACGGUACCUAAUCAGAAAGCCACGGCUAACUACGUG
rnacentral:rRNA from 1 species